rnacentral:lncRNA from 1 species
GCCAGUGGUCAUGGAUGAUGGGAGUUGGAAUCCAAUGACAUCUGGAGGGCCAGUGCUCCAAGAAGUAACAUGCCCUUCUGUGUGGGAGAGAUGGCAGAAUACCUCUAUUUAGAAGAGGCAGUUCCCUCUGAGUUAGGACAAUGUCCUUUGGAGCAGUGGGUUCAAAACCUGCAGUCCUCCAGCCCCAGCCAGCAUGGCCAGUGCUCAGGGAUGGUGGAAGCUGGAGUCCAGCCAUGUCCAGAAGGCCACACAUUCCCCAGUUUUUUGAAAUACAAGGAACUGAAAUAAUUGCGUGAUAUGCCUCUGUUUAGCACUGCCUCCAUUCCCCCUUCCUCAGUUCAAUGUCAUGUCUAGGGGUGUUUUUUUGGGGGGGGGUGGCCAAGAUGCCAUGGGAGAGGAGUUCUUCCUCAUCCUCUCUGUUGUAGGUGAUAAUUCACUCACCCAAAGCACCGUGGCUCAGUGGUAGAACAUCUGCUUUGCUUGCAGAAUGACCCAGUUUCAAUCCGCACAUCUCCAGGACCCGUGCUUGAAACCCUGGAGAGUCGCUGCCAGUCAGUAGGGCCUGACUCAGUAUAAGGCAGCUUCCUAUAGUGUCCCCCCCAACCCUUGAUGCUUACUAAAAGGCGGCAAAUUGGUUAAGCAGAGCUUUGAAUAGAAGCUUCUUGAUUGCAAAUGGCAUUCCUCCACUGUGUAACGUUGUGUUCUACUGUAAAUAUUCCAGCUUCCUGCUGAGAUUGCCAAACGGACCUCCAAAAAUAGCACUGUGUUCUUCGCAAUGACCAAUUUAUUGGAAAAUGCAUUGUGUCCCCGCCACACACACUUCUUUAUUCUAUUUGUAAAGGUUUGUGGAGGGUUAAUAGGUCAUAAAUUUUUACUACCCAUCCCAAACCAGGAAGUGAUUCUUCUCUUAUGGCCCGUUGCGUCCUGAGUCUCUUGCGCUCUUCUAAAGAUGCUUAUCUGGCUCUUUGAUUGCCUGUUGCUCGGAGAUACGGCUCCAGUGGCGCCUUCCCUUAUCAAGGCCCAUCGCUUGGUCUUCCCAUCAGAAAGUUGCAAGUGUGUGUUUUUCAUCUUUAAUUGAUCUUACGGCACGUUUUAUAGCCUUCGCUUUUCCUUCUCCCUCCACCCCGGCAUGGAGGACAGUUCUUUCCUUUGUGUGAGAUGUGAUGGUGGCAUAACUGAUUCCAGGGGGAUAGCUAAGAGGUUUUUUUUUUUAAUUAAAAAAAUGAAAAAGGAGCUGCUGAAUUAUGAAUAUGGAUAUACAUGCAGAGCAGCCCCUGCACUGGAACACUGAAGGGGAAUUGGACAAAUGAGCCAAGGCAAUGCUUCACAAACAUCUGGCAGCGCUCUUGCAUCCUGGCCCCAAACCUUAAACAUUUUUAUUUUCAAAGUAUGUAAGAUGAAAGACAACCCGCCUGCAGAGGAACCCCUUUCCCACAGGGUCACUGUUCUGGGCAUAGGAGCUGGUUCCAUGUCUGAAAUGGACUUAUCAGCCCCACCCCAGCUAUGUCAAGGACUUGACUCUCCCUUACCCAAUUGCGGGCAGGAGUGGACAGCUGGAUCCUGGAGCUGCCAUUUAAAUUUCCCAUGAUGCCUUACAGCAGAGCUUUCCAAACUGUGUGCUGAGACACAUUAGUGUGUUGGCUGCAGUGUAGGUGCGUCGCGCAAACGCUCCCUGCACUGCUCCCGGGGCUGGAAAGGGGUUAGAUUGACCUCUGGUUUGCCAGUAAAACUGAAUGACUGUGUCGUGAAAUGAUGCAAUUCUAAAACUUGUGUCACUGACAUGAAAAGUUUGGAAAGCACUGCCUUACAGUGACACUACAUAGAGAGUAUUAGGAGAAAUUAACAUUGUGGCUUCUAGAGCCUGCCGCUUUCUUUAAAAACAGAAGAGGGGAACCAGGGCAAAUACCGGCAGUGCUACCCAACUAGGUUUCACUCAGAGUUGACCUGUUGAAGUUAAUGGACCUAACUUAUCCAUGCUCAUUAAAUUCAGUGGAACUACUGUGCAUCAAACCUUGUUGAAUGGCACUCUGUUGCCCCAGCAGCUGGGCAGGUGUGACUUGAAACAAGCAGAAGCAGAGCAAGAAAUGAAGUAGUGCAUUGGUGGGGGAACCUCAGCCACAGGGGGUGAAUGCGGCCAUCCAAGUCUCUCUAUCUGGCCCUCAGGGCACCCUCCAGGCCACGUACCCUUCCCAGCCAUGCCUCCUCUCAGAGGUGAAGAGAGGUUGUUCCUCUCAAGUCCUGCUUGUGGGUUUCCCAUAGGCAACUGGUUGGCCAAUCUGAAAACAGGAUGCUGGACUCGCUGGGCCCCUUUUGGCCUGUUCCAGAAGGGCUCUUCUAGGCUGGCAAAUACCUAUAUUGAUUGUAGCUGUCAAGCUUGGUGCCUAGCUUUGCCACAGGAUCAAACUCCAACAUAGGUAGGAGAUGGCCAAAUGGGUCUGAAACAAGGAGAAGUGUCCACAGAUAGGCUGGAGGUCAUAUGUGGGAUCAGGCAGGGCAAGGCAAGGCACAGCCACAAAGUCUGCUUGGCUCCUCCAUGUGAGAAGUCACUCAGCCUGAAGAACUGGCUUGGCUGGAAAGUUUGUCUAGAAACCUGUCAUCCCUCGAUUGGUUUUUGAUCUCUUGUUUUGCACACAAAAGGUCUCAGGUUCAGUUCCAAGACUCUGCAGGUCAGGAUUCUCCUGCCUGAGACCAUGUAGACACUGAUUCUACUAGAGGGACCAAUGGUCUGACUCUGCUUCCUGUGCCCUUCAGCCACAGAGCCUAGUCUGGUUUGCUAAGGGACCAAAGCGCCAAUAGCACAGCAGGGUAAGAUGCUGGAGACCCUGGUUCAAAAUACAAACACACACAUCAGCACCUCAUAGUAGUUUCAAGGUUAACCCAGCCUUGCAUCUUUGAUGCUCAGAUUUAUGAAUGCCAGUUGCUGGAAACCACAGGAAAGGAAAACGUUCUUGUUCUUGGGUUCUGCUUGUGGGCUUCCCACAGGCAUCCAGGUGGCCAGUGUGAGAACAGGGCUUUGGACUGGGUGGGCCUUCUUAUGUUCUCAUGCAUGGAUUCCACCAUGAGAUAGAAUACAAGGUGGGCUAUGCACACACACAUACACAUGUCUUUGAAGGGGUGUGCCACGUGUCACCUGCCUUGUUGCAUUGUGAAAUCUAGCUGUGCAAACAGUCCCGUCUGUCAAGUCUGUAUAAACAAACACUGCGCUAGUAAAAGCACUCAACUGGCGGGCUGGUGACAGCCUUCAAAGGGCUCGGCAUUCGGCAUCUUGCUAUUUAAAGGCCUAGCCUCACGGGCAGAAUUUCAGAAAUGAUGGGAGCUGCCAGGCACUGCAGUCUUGCAUUAUGAUAAUAUUGGCAUUGCAGCUGAAGUUGGGGCAGGUGGCGGUGGUGGUGAGAGGGAGAAUGGCUCUUGCAAAAUGUUUAAGCUAGUGACAUCAACCUGUUUGGCCCACAUCGGUGAUUCAGAACAUGCGGAUGGUUUAACUGCCUCUAGAGACCGAGGCUAAAACAAGAGACUCCUAAAGGUUUUUGCGUGGUGUCUAGAGAGCAGGGGUUGCAAACCCAUUGCCCUCCAGAUGUUGGGACUCCAACUCCCAUCAGCCCCAUCCAGCAUGGCCAAAGGUCAGGGGUGAUGGGAAUUGUAGUCUAGCAACGUCUGCCAGGUCCUGGGCAGUAGCAGGGUUUGUGCAGCUGGGUGGCAGAGGAUUCUGGGAAGUGUAAGAGGACCCACUUGGGUGUGCCUCACAGGGAGUCUGUGCAGACCCAACACUCCCAAGGAAACUCCCAAGGAGCCACAGGGUACCCUAGAACACAGCUGAGAAGCUAGUAAGACGGUAGGAAAAGCCUUGCUGGAUCAGGCAACUGGCCUAUAUUGUUUCCAGCAACUGAUAUUCAGAGACAUACAGCCUCCAAGAGUGGAGGAAGAACAUAUCCAUCAUGGAUGCUAGCUAUUGAUAACCUUAUCCUUCAUGAAUUUGUCCAAUCCUUUUUUGAAGUCAUUCAAGUUGGUGGCCUUCACUGCCUCUCGUAGGAAGAAAUUCCAUGCUUUGUGCAUCAUGAGAAGAAAUCCUUCUAUUCUGAAUAACACCAACAUAUUCAUAUAGAUUAAUUCUCUCUCUCUCUCUCUCUCUCUCUCUCUCACACACACACACACACACACACGGAAGAGAUAGUUGGCCAAAAUGAUGGUCCAAGAUAUGAGUGGGGGGAACAAAAAGCUGCUUAGGAUUUUGUCCUCCUGAAACACAGUGGCAGCUCUGAAGUUGUGUGUAUGCGUAGGAGGAGCCUUGGAUUUCCUAGGGUCAUGAGGCAGGGCUCAAUUUGUGGACGGCAGAAUCAAGAGUCAGCAGCUCGGCGCCACGGCUGUCCCCUGCUUGGCUCGAAAUGUUGUUAUGGCCCUGGAUAAGUGACAGAAACGAUAGCAUCAAAAAUGUACACUAGUAAAAUCUUGUUAAGGAAACGCCACCGUUGGGGAGGGGCAAGGAGUGGGUGAAGGAGGUGAUCACCCUUGGAGGUGAUCACAAAGCAAGAAAAUUGGUACUGGGGGAAGCAGAGUGUUCUGAUGCAUUUGGGUGCUUCAGGAUAAUAAAUUAAAUUCUGCCACUUAAUGUGGUGAUCGCAAAGCAACCCCAAACCGUGCGCGGGUAAUGGAAAUGCGCGCAAAGAUUAUGCGGGGCAUUUCUGUAUCCUUAAGGAGGUAAAUGUGAGCUGUUGUUGGAGGGGAGGUUGCCUGCAUUAAAUCAGGGAGGGGUGGUGGCCUUUUGAGGGGGGAUGCAGCUUUAAAUGGAAGAUUAAUGUACAUCAGGGGAAGUAUAUCCCCCGGAGGAAGGAGAGGCACGGAAAUUCCAGAUGCUGCUCCAGAUUGACAAAGACAAAAUGCCAGGUUUCCAAAUUUAGGAUUUUACCAAAAAAAAAAGCACAGUGCCUAGCUCUUAGUAGUCCUGAUAGGAGAGAGAGAGAGAAAGACAGAGAGAAGAUUUGUAUGUGCGAGAGAGAAGACACAUACUACUGCAGUAGUAUGUGUGUUCUGUUAAGUUCACAGUAAUUAUGUUGUUGUUGUUGUUCUAAAUGUUUCUAUAAUGCCUUAAAGCAGUGGCUCCAGGGAAUCCUUUCCACUCUGAUCUAUGGCUGAAGAAUUAUUCUGCCUUUGUUUCACAGCUCUGUGCUGCAAAGGGCUUUGGGAAGUGUCCCAGGGUGCACACUCCAUUCACAGAGGGUGGUUGGCUAGCCGGCUGAGCCACCCUGUUGAGCUGUUCUGCAUGGGUCCGCCCUACAACCAGCCCAGGACUCUCUUCUUGCAGGAGGAGGUCAGUAAUAGAAGGCAAACUGUCUUUCACUGACGUUCCUCCUCCCUUACUGACCUGCGCACGUUAAGGGAACCGCUGAGGAUUGAGCCACUGAGGAUGUUAGGGGUAGGAGAAUCUGGCAAUCUCAUUUUCUUGCAUUUCCCCACUCUUUGGUUCAGUCCCCCACAUUUCUGCAUCAGCUGGUGAGGUUGACUAACAAAAUAGAAAUGUUAAAUUAUUAUAGCAAAACAUUUCUUCUUCCGCCUUCAUCAGUUGCUCUGAUAAAAAUGAUGUUUCCAAAAUUUAUUUAUUGUAUUUAUUAAAUUUAUAUAUCACCCUUCACCUGACGAUCUCAGGGCAGUUCACAAGAUGCAAAUACAAUAAAAGCACAAAUAAAUAGUUAGAACAAAAACAAACCAAUAACACCCCCCCUCCCACAAACACAUUUAAGAGAAGUUGAAGGGGAACAUUUUCGCUUGGCUUAGUCAUCAGACGAACCUCCCUGGGGAUUGUUAUACAGCUUUUAGAAUCGGAUGCACUGGCUGGAGCUGAUGGGAGUUGUAGUCCAGAACAUCUGGAGGGCGCCACAUUGCUGAAGGCUGAAAUAAUAGUUUGCCUGCAGCUGCCUAGUACAGUGGAACCUCGUAUUACGGACGGGAUCCAUUCCGGAGGCCCGUCCAUAACACGGAACUGACGCAAGCCGAAGCACCACGUCUGGGCAUGUGUGUGGUGCGAUUUAGUGCUUCUGCGCAUGUGCGAGUGGCGAAACCCGGAAGUGACCCGUUCUAGUACUUCCGGGUUGCUGCGGGACGCAACACGAAGACACGUAACCUGAAGCAGACACAACAUGGGGUAUGACUGUAAAUUCCUAUGCUAUGUGCAUGGGAUUGUGGGCACGCGCACAGCCAAACAGCUGCCAUGGCCACUCACAUUAAGGAAGUGGAUAUGAUAAUGAGCUCGAUUUGCACACUUUGUUCUCAUUGCAAGAUUUGAACUCCUUUGGGAUCAAAUCUGGAAUGGAAAAGUGAACAGAGAAUCAAGGAGUCAUACAUUAGCACAGCCCUCCAGACAUCAUGGACUCCCCUCAUCAUCCCUGACCGUUGGCCACACUGGGUGGGGCUGAUGGGAGUUGGAGUCCGACAGCAUCAGGACAGUGCCAACUUGGAGAAGGCUGCACUAGAGGAAUUCCAUGUAAGGUCAGGCUGAGGCAUAUGUAGCCAAAAGGCAAGGCAAAAUCAUUGGGGAAAGCAGCAGGCCAAUAUCAGUUCCCAGAAAGGCAGCCCAGGUGGGUAAGGUGAGAAAGGAACAGGAAGCAAAGACCGAUCAGGCUAGAGAACAAGGGGAAAGCUUGCAGAGUCAGGAGAGUGUAGCAGGGAGAGGCAGGGGCAGAGUGAGGAACAAAGGCUAUGAGCUUUGUUCGCUGCUUCCAUGUGCAGACUGAGGUCUGAUCUGUGUGUUCAGCAGAAUGAGGUGGUGGAGUGGUUUGUACCACUUCAAACACAGACGUGGGAGAUGUCAUUUUCGAAUAACUAUGAACAACAGAAGGGGUCUGGGUUCCUGCCUGUCCCUUGCUGUGCUAUUUUUCCUUUUGCAACAGAGUCUCUCUCUCUUGUGGCAGAGCAUGUGGUGGGGGAGACAAUUCUAGCAUUUUCAGUCUGGUCCCAGUUUGCCACCUCAAGUCUCAGCCCACCUGUUCCCCACCUAAAUUCUCUGGCAUGUGUGGACCAGGCCAAAGAUGGCAGACAGGCAGAGGGAGUUACACAGAUACAUACCCACCAGCAUUUCUCUGAUGAAAAUAGGGACUUCCUACAUCAACAUCAUC